UACGUAGGGUGCAAGCGUUGUCCGGAAUUAUUGGGCGUAAAGAGCUCGUAGGCGGUCUGUCGCGUCUGCUGUGAAAACUCAGGGCUUAACCCUGAGCUUGCAGUGGGUACGGGCAGACUAGAGUGCGGUAGGGGAGACUGGAAUUCCUGGUGUAGCGGUGAAAUGCGCAGAUAUCGAGGAGGAACACCGGUGGCGAAGGCGGGUCUCUGGGCCGUAACUGACGCUGGAGGAGCGAAAGCAUCGGGGAGCGAACAG
rnacentral:rRNA from 1 species